rnacentral:rRNA from 1 species
GAUGAACGCUGGCGGCGUGCCUAAUACAUGCAAGUCGAGCGAACAGACGAGGAGCUUGCUCCUCUGACGUUAGCGGCGGACGGGUGAGUAACACGUGGAUAACCUACCUAUAAGACUGGGAUAACUUCGGGAAACCGGAGCUAAUACCGGAUAAUAUAUUGAACCGCAUGGUUCAAUAGUGAAAGACGGUUUUGCUGUCACUUAUAGAUGGAUCCGCGCCGCAUUAGCUAGUUGGUAAGGUAACGGCUUACCAAGGCAACGAUGCGUAGCCGACCUGAGAGGGUGAUCGGCCACACUGGAACUGAGACAGGGUCCAGACUCCUACGGGAGGCAGCAGUAGGGAAUCGUCCGCAAUGGGCGAAAGCUUGACGGAGCAACGCCGCGUGAGUGAUGAAGGUCUUCGGAGCGUAAAACUCUGUUAUGAGGGAAGAACAAAUGUGUAAGUAACUAUGCACGUCUUGACGGUACCUAAUCAGAAAGCAACGGCUAACUACGUG